rnacentral:rRNA from 1 species
AUUGAACGCUGGCGGCAUGCUUUACACAUGCAAGUCGAACGGCAGCGCGGGCUUCGGCCUGGCUGCGAGUGGCGAACGGGUGAGUAAUACAUCGGAACGUGCCCAGCAGUGGGGUAUAGCUCGGCGAAAGCCGGAUUAAUACCGCAUACGACCUGAUGGUGAAAGCUGGGGAUCUUCGGACCUCUCGCGCUUUUGGCGGCCGAUGGGAGAUUAGCUAGUUGGUGGGGUAAAGGCCUACCAAGGCGACGAUCUGUAGCUGGUCUGAGAGGACGACCAGCCACACUGGGACUGAGACACGGCCCAGGCUCCUACGGGAGGCAGCAGUGGGGAAUUUUGGACAAUGGGCGAAAGCCUGAUCCAGCAAUGCCGCGUGUGUGAUGAAGGCCUUCGGGUUGUAAAGCACUUUUGGCGGGAACGAAAAGGACUGUGCUAAUACCACGGUUCGAUGACGGUACCCGCAGAAUAAGCACCGGCUAACUACGUG